CAAAUCCAUGCUGCUGUGGUUUAAAUGGAAAAAUUUAGAGCUGAUUAUAAAAUGUUGUAAUCAGGUGCAGCUAUGAAGAUAUGAUAAUACCAGAACUGGAGACAGAAGGUCCUGUUGGGGAUAAAGAAGCAGAGUGAAGGAGUGGAAGCCAAACCUAAAAGUGCACAGCCAGUGUCUAGCGUGGCAACACCAUCAGAAGAGCAUUAUGAGCUGCAUGCCAGCUUGAUUGGCAAAUUGGUGAGGUGUGUACCUCACAGCCACAGCUGCACCUUGGUGCCAGAAGUCAAUACCUGGAGCAGAACAGCAAGGAGCAGCUACGGUCAGAUCAAACCACACUCCAGAAAUGGCCAUGAAUAUGUAUUCUGUCUUUUGACACUCCUUUGUGCUGGCUUUUGGAGAAGGCUGUAGAGGAUCUGAGAAGUUAAAGCUGGAGUGGACCCACAAGACCCAUCUGUCUGCCUCCCUGAGCAGGUUUGUGCUUUCUGGACGUGGUCCUCCUGGGUUGGGUUGGGUCCCCAGCUGAGGGGCUCUUGCUG
rnacentral:lncRNA from 12 species